UGGGGAAUAUUGGACAAUGGGGGCAACCCUGAUCCAGCAAUGCCGCGUGUGUGAAGAAGGUCUUCGGAUUGUAAAGCACUUUCGACGGGGACGAUGAUGACGGUACCCGUAGAAGAAGCCCCGGCUAACUUCGUGCCAGCAGCCGCGGUAAUACGAAGGGGGCUAGCGUUGCUCGGAAUGACUGGGCGUAAAGGGCGUGUAGGCGGUUUACACAGUCAGAUGUGAAAUCCCCGGGCUUAACCUGGGAGCUGCAUUUGAUACGUGUAGACUAGAGUGUGAGAGAGGGUUGUGGAAUUCCCAGUGUAGAGGUGAAAUUCGUAGAUAUUGGGAAGAACACCGGUGGCGAAGGCGGCAACCUGGCUCAUGACUGACGCUGAGGCGCGAAAGCGUGGGGAGCAAACAGGAUUAGAUACCCUGGUAGUCCACGCCUGUAAACGAUGUGUGCUAGAUGUUGGGUAACUUUGUUAUUCAGUGUCGCAGUUAACGCGUUAAGCACACC
rnacentral:rRNA from 1 species